UACGUAGGGGGCAAGCGUUGUCCGGAAUUAUUGGGCGUAAAGAGCAUGUAGGCGGUCCGGUAAGUCCGCUGUGAAAGUCCAGGGCUCAACCCUGGAAUGCCGGUGGAUACUGCCGGGCUAGAGUCCGGAAGAGGCGAGUGGAAUUCCUGGUGUAGCGGUGAAAUGCGCAGAUAUCAGGAGGAACACCGAUGGCGAAGGCAGCUCGCUGGGACGGUACUGACGCUGAGACGCGAAAGCGUGGGGAGCAAACAGG
rnacentral:rRNA from 1 species